UCUACUUAUUCUUCGGUGAUCUCAUUGCUCGUAUUUGUUAUGUUGGCAAGUUUUUUUUUUUAAAAAAAAAAGGAAAAACAAAACAAAACAACUUGUUAGAUACAACUUAAUUAAACAGAGAAUCAAUCUAAUAAGCUUAUGAAGACAACGUUAAAGAAAUGUUUGUCAGAAUAACCACCAAAGAAUUCCGUAAUAUUAAUUAAAAUAAAAGUUGAAGAAUCAAUGAGUACUAAUUUUAUUAUUAUUAUUUUUUCCAAUAGAUAAGCAUUACUCGAGGUAAUAUUAUUAAGGAUUUUUUACCGAAUUCUAUAGUAUGUGGUAGUGACCACCCCUCCACCAAGCAUGGCGUUAAAAGAUCACCAGCUAUUAAAUGCAGAGUCAAAUAUUUGUGCUAACAGAAAAGUAGUAUAUAUUUUCUUCACUAAUAAGGAACAAAAUGUUCAUAAUUGAACAUACAUCCACCAUCAUCUAAGGUAUACGCCUCAAGGUAUACAUCCACCAUCAUCUAAGCUUAUGUGCUAGUAGUGUGUUACAGUGUUAGUAACGAAAUGCAAGACCUUAGUGUUCUGUUUGUGUUGUGCAAAUUUUCUAACGCCAUAUGUUUUCUAAUAAUUAAAGAAAACAAAAGAUUCCAUAUCGUACAAAGAAAAUAAAAAUUAACGUGUUUAUCAUAAACUCCACAAAUAAAAAUACAUACAAUGUGAAUUUUAUUAAGAUUUUAGAUACGUAUAUAAAUUUUGUAGUACUACCUAUAUGGAGCGACAGGGUUUACCAGUAGACAGCAAUUUCAUUGGCUCCGAUAACAAAAGGUCAACCUAAAUAAUGUGGCUAAAUAUUUUUUCUUUUAUUUUUUUGUCCUAUUAUAACAUCAUUUUGU
rnacentral:lncRNA from 1 species